CUUGAACUCAUGAACCGUGAGAUCAUGACCUGAGCCCAAGUCAAGAGUUGGAUGCUUAACCAACUGAGCCAUCCAGGAGCCCCUGAUUUACUCUUUUUCCAGGGGCUUCUGUAUAAUUGCUCAGAGAAGGGAACAGUGGCAGAGGGAACAGGUACCAGAAUGUAAAUGGAUCACCAGGUGGUAGCCUCUUCUUUAUUGCCCUUGGUAAGACCACACCAACCCACCUACAAGGGGGCAAGGCUGCUGGGAGAUACAACAGGCUGGGUAGGCAGAAAUGAUCAUGUACCUUGUCCAAGUGACAGGUGUCUUAGUUUGGUUCACUCUAAAGCAAAGCCUGAGGUAAGGACUUGGGUGCAGAUGAUUUAUUUGGGAGAUGAUUCCCAGAAUAAGUCGGGGAUCAGACAGCAUUUAGAGGAAAGAAAAAGGAACAAGGAAAUGUGAAUAUGGGAGCAUUGUUGCUGCUGCCCUUGUAGGCAACAAGAGCUCAGUUCUGCAGGAAGCCGGGCACUCACCCACCACCUCCUGUCCCCCUUUGAUUAGGGGCUGCCCCUGUGGCCAUUAACUUCCCCAAAUUUCUGGGCUGUCCCUGAAGUGGGUGGGAGAGGCUUUCUUGGCCCCGGAGAAGCCCCAAGGCCAAAAGCAAAAAGAUUCCGGGAGUGUGCUUGAGCUGGGAUGUGCCCAAGGUGAGUGUGAGUCCCGUCACAAGGGCAGCUGAAGACAGUGGGCCAAGGGAAAGUAGGGAGGAACACCCAACACGUCUGUCCAGGAACCACCAGAUUUCACUAGCCGCCGGCUCUCAAUGGAGAAUGGGAGCAGGGGGUGGCAAGAAUAUAUGUGGGCAAAAUGUCAUUUCCAUUGUUCUCCUGUGGAUCUCUAUGUCUGCUCACUGGCUGCUGUUGUUCAUUCUUUGAGCAACCUGCUUCCUCAGCUCCAGAGCACAGGAGAUGGGAUAGCAGGCUAGGGCCAGUCAGCUGUUGUUUACUGAGUGUGCUUACUAAAUGGGCUGCCAAAGGGCUGAGGGACAGGGAAGGACCCAGGCUCUGUCACCCUACAGCAGCAUGUUGACACUCCCUGGAGGGCAUCAUAGAGAUUGACUGUGGCUAUGAUGCAGGGCUCCAGGGGAGUGGCUAAUCCCUACAGGCGUUGGGACAGGAGCCACAAAGCCCAGGGAAGGACUCCAAUAAAGCUUCCCCGCUGGCCUGAGAACUCUGGAGAUUUCGCCACCCUGCUCUCAAUCCACUCCUGCAUAUAGGCUCUCUGGGGCUCCACCUGGCUGCUGGCCUGAGGCUGACCUGGGCUCAGCCGGCCUGCUCUGAGCCUCUUGCCACCCCCUCCCUUCCUACCCUAAGACCCUCUUCACUUGGGCACAUUUGCUUUGACACCGCUUUCUAAGCCCUAGCUGCUUUCUGCAUUGUUCUGAGAAACUAGUUGACAUUUUGACCAGCCCAGAACCUGGGAGCUGAGGGGCAGGUUUACGAUGUUAGCCUGCAAGGGGACAGAAUCCAGGCCUGGGAAAUAGAAAUCUCAGGAGAAGGUCACAGCUCAGCUUCUUUCUAGCCAGCGACGUCACAUUUCCUCAGUUUCCACAUGUACAACACUAAUCAGCCUUGCCACAUCCGCCUCGCAGGGUCGCUGAGAUACCAGAUGGAAUGUCUGUGAGCAAACUUUUGAAACCAACAGAGUCUUAUGUAAAUGUAACUUGUAAUAACCAUUGUUUGCUGCCCUGUGCCUGACAUCCCAUUAGAGCGAAUUCCUCUGCUCUCUUCCUGACACACACAGGGGCCUUUGUUAUUUGGAACUUGGGAGGUUGGCAAAUUCCUGCUUGUCUGGAAUCCAAACAGGCCAGUUGUGAGUUGUCUUGGGGUGGUUGUGCCCUGGAAGAGCCACUCGGUCAGGGGCCAGAGCCAGGAAUUCCCCCUCCAGACCCAACUGCUAGGAGCUCCAUGGCCUUAGGCAAGCGCCUUGAUUUCCUAGAGCCCUGUGUGAUUCAUCUGACAAAGGGAGUUAUUGCCCCGGUCUGGCCUGUCUGCCUCCUGGGCUCUCAAGAGGGUCAAGAUGGAUUCCAGGGGUCUAGGCAAGGGUGUGCGAAAUGCUCCUGUGCUGUGUAAAUGCUGGGGAUUAUUCCUGGAAAAAGGGCUUUCUGACUUGAUUCCACAGCACGCAUCCACCCAUCAGGCCUAGUGUGAACUUAGAGGCACAGUCAAGAUCCUGAAAUGUUUUCCAGAUCAUCCAAGAAAGUUGGUGCAGGAAGAGAAAGACUCAGCUUUCUUAGUAGCUAGAAGUACAGGUAAUUGUCACCAUUAUGGGGAUGGUGUUGUAUGAAAAUAUUGUGGGUCAGGAGGGAAGGGAGUGGACUUUGAGUCCCAGAAAAGGAGGACAAAAAUGGCAAAGACGUCUUUGGAGGGACAGCAGGAACUAGAAAGAGUAAGGCAAGGUCUAAUAUGCAGAGCCUAGAAUGAGGCAGUGAGAGAUGGGGCAGAGGCUGCAGGAGGGGCUCCCCGACCUGCACGCUGGCUAAACCCCAAUUUUUCUUGUGUGUCAGAGAGGCCCUUCUCCCGACCCCAUGGACGAACCAUGAUUGGUUUAGAAUCUUAAUCUAUACCACUGGUCUGCUUAUUAGUGUGACCCAGUGCUGGCCGAUAGAAUCUGAGGGGGAGUCCACUGGGGGCUUCUGGGAAAGAUUGUCCUCCUUGAUAAAAACAGAGAGAGAGACAAGGGAGGCUGUUCCCUCUUCCCCAUCUACGAGGCCCCUCCAGAGCCUGUCCUGUCCCACCUGGCAGUACCUGAGCUGGAUAAUAGCCAGUUCCCGUUUCUCACCAGCACCCCCCAUGGCCCACACCUUCCUGCCCCAGCUGUUGGCGUGAGAGGCUGAGGUCUACAGCACCUGCAGCUCCCAGUGAGAAGAAACCCAAGAGCCAUGGAGCUGCUGCAUCUUGGGAUUCCCUCCAGGCUGCUUGAAAUGGGAGACAAGGCAUAUCUUCACAGUUGAAGCCACUUUAUAAUCUACUGCUCCACUGGCAAGGGAACCAGGGUGAAAAUAACACUGGUAAUACGUGCCGUUGAAAGGAACAUUACAGUUCAUGCAGCACUUUAUAUGCACGGAUGUUACUCGAUCUUCACAAAAGACAAGAGGGAAGCUCCUGGAGGGAAGGAAGGAAAGAUGACAAAGUGUAAAGCAAGGAUUGGCAGUCUUCCCGAAGCACGAGGCCAACUGGCUUCCCAAGCGGGCAGGCACGUGUGGAUCCAGCCCGGAAGAGACAGGUCAUGGGGAUUGGACCAGAGAGAGGAGUGUCGGGAGCAGGGCAGGCUCCGUCUGGGAAGCUUUCCAGAGAAGCUCACCCUGAGUCCCUGAAGAACUCUUGUAUGUUACACCCAAGACUUACCCAGAAGGGUAGAGGAUGGCUGAUCUUUGGAGCUUCCACUCUCCGAUCAUUUAUCCACUUGCCCCUCAAACGAUCCAUGAGCUUCUG